GCCUAGAUAGCUCAGUUGGCUAAGCAUACGGUUCAUACCCGUACGGUCGAUGGUUCGAAUCCAUUUCUAGCACC
rnacentral:tRNA from 1 species